UGUAUAUUUAUUUAUUUUUAUAUAUUUACUCUUAGGGUCAACCUACGUAAUUUACUGGUAAGAGUCCUUAUCAAAAAUAUUUUCUAAAAUGUAAGUGAUAAACAUUAUUUCCUUUAUUAAUUACAUUCCUUUAUUAAUUAUUUACUAUAGCAAAAAUCAAUUAUUUUUUUAGCCUACUGUAAAAACAAGUUAUAAUUAAUUAUGGUUUAAAAAGUUUUUUCUCGUUAUUCGAUCAUUUUUAUGAUAAAAAUUACUAUACAUAUAUUCUGAAAUUUCCCAUUCAAUAUUUAUAUUUCAAAAACUUGAUAAAAAUUUAAAAAAUUUUGAAAGUAAAGGUACUUCAUAUGUUUUCGAGUGAACUGAAUUUAAUAUAGUGCUGUAAUUAAGUGAGACAAUAAUUUUUGAAAGUUUCGCAAGGAUAAAAAAAAAGAAUAUGAGGAAGUCUAUUUUGAAGUAUAUCAAUUUGAAGGAAAAAAUUUUAAAUUGUUGGAUAUUCAUUAGGAUUGUCAAAAUGAAA